rnacentral:tRNA from 1 species
GUUCGCAUGGUGAAAUGGCAGACACGGAAGACUCAAAAUCUUCUGCCCGUUUAGGGCGUGGGGGUUCAAGUCCCUCUGCGAAUACCA